rnacentral:tRNA from 1 species
GGGGUUAUAGUUCAGUUGGUAGAGCGCAUACUGUGCAUUCAUGAGGUACUUGGUUCGAUCCCCAGUACCUCCA